GGUUAAGCGACUAAGCGUACACGGUGGAUGCCCUGGCAGUCAGAGGCGAUGAAGGACGUGCUAAUCUGCGAUAAGCGUCGGUAAGGUGAUAUGAACCGUUAUAACCGGCGAUUUCCGAAUGGGGAAACCCAGUGUGAUUCGUCACACUAUCAUUAACUGAAUCCAUAGGUUAAUGAGGCGAACCGGGGGAACUGAAACAUCUAAGUACCCCGAGGAAAAGAAAUCAACCGAGAUUCCCCCAGUAGCGGCGAGCGAACGGGGAGCAGCCCAGAGCCUGAAUCAGUGUGUGUGUUAGUGGAAGCGUCUGGAAAGGCGCGCGAUACAGGGUGACAGCCCCGUACACAAAAAUGCACAUGCUGUGAGCUCGAUGAGUAGGGCGGGACACGUGGUAUCCUGUCUGAAUAUGGGGGGACCAUCCUCCAAGGCUAAAUACUCCUGACUGACCGAUAGUGAACCAGUACCGUGAGGGAAAGGCGAAAAGAACCCCGGCGAGGGGAGUGAAAAAGAACCUGAAACCGUGUACGUACAAGCAGUGGGAGCACGCUUAGGCGUGUGACUGCGUACCUUUUGUAUAAUGGGUCAGCGACUUAUAUUCUGUAGCAAGGUUAACCGAAUAGGGGAGCCGAAGGGAAACCGAGUCUUAACUGGGCGUUAAGUUGCAGGGUAUAGACCCGAAACCCGGUGAUCUAGCCAUGGGCAGGUUGAAGGUUGGGUAACACUAACUGGAGGACCGAACCGACUAAUGUUGAAAAAUUAGCGGAUGACUUGUGGCUGGGGGUGAAAGGCCAAUCAAACCGGGAGAUAGCUGGUUCUCCCCGAAAGCUAUUUAGGUAGCGCCUCGUGAAUUCAUCUCCGGGGGUAGAGCACUGUUUCGGCAAGGGGGUCAUCCCGACUUACCAACCCGAUGCAAACUGCGAAUACCGGAGAAUGUUAUCACGGGAGACACACGGCGGGUGCUAACGUCCGUCGUGAAGAGGGAAACAACCCAGACCGCCAGCUAAGGUCCCAAAGUCAUGGUUAAGUGGGAAACGAUGUGGGAAGGCCCAGACAGCCAGGAUGUUGGCUUAGAAGCAGCCAUCAUUUAAAGAAAGCGUAAUAGCUCACUGGUCGAGUCGGCCUGCGCGGAAGAUGUAACGGGGCUAAACCAUGCACCGAAGCUGCGGCAGCGACGCUUAUGCGUUGUUGGGUAGGGGAGCGUUCUGUAAGCCUGCGAAGGUGUGCUGUGAGGCAUGCUGGAGGUAUCAGAAGUGCGAAUGCUGACAUAAGUAACGAUAAAGCGGGUGAAAAGCCCGCUCGCCGGAAGACCAAGGGUUCCUGUCCAACGUUAAUCGGGGCAGGGUGAGUCGACCCCUAAGGCGAGGCCGAAAGGCGUAGUCGAUGGGAAACAGGUUAAUAUUCCUGUACUUGGUGUUACUGCGAAGGGGGGACGGAGAAGGCUAUGUUGGCCGGGCGACGGUUGUCCCGGUUUAAGCGUGUAGGCUGGUUUUCCAGGCAAAUCCGGAAAAUCAAGGCUGAGGCGUGAUGACGAGGCACUACGGUGCUGAAGCAACAAAUGCCCUGCUUCCAGGAAAAGCCUCUAAGCAUCAGGUAACAUCAAAUCGUACCCCAAACCGACACAGGUGGUCAGGUAGAGAAUACCAAGGCGCUUGAGAGAACUCGGGUGAAGGAACUAGGCAAAAUGGUGCCGUAACUUCGGGAGAAGGCACGCUGAUAUGUAGGUGAAGUCCCUCGCGGAUGGAGCUGAAAUCAGUCGAAGAUACCAGCUGGCUGCAACUGUUUAUUAAAAACACAGCACUGUGCAAACACGAAAGUGGACGUAUACGGUGUGACGCCUGCCCGGUGCCGGAAGGUUAAUUGAUGGGGUUAGCCGCAAGGCGAAGCUCUUGAUCGAAGCCCCGGUAAACGGCGGCCGUAACUAUAACGGUCCUAAGGUAGCGAAAUUCCUUGUCGGGUAAGUUCCGACCUGCACGAAUGGCGUAAUGAUGGCCAGGCUGUCUCCACCCGAGACUCAGUGAAAUUGAACUCGCUGUGAAGAUGCAGUGUACCCGCGGCAAGACGGAAAGACCCCGUGAACCUUUACUAUAGCUUGACACUGAACAUUGAGCCUUGAUGUGUAGGAUAGGUGGGAGGCUUAGAAGUGUGGACGCCAGUCUGCAUGGAGCCGACCUUGAAAUACCACCCUUUAAUGUUUGAUGUUCUAACGUUGACCCGUAAUCCGGGUUGCGGACAGUGUCUGGUGGGUAGUUUGACUGGGGCGGUCUCCUCCUAAAGAGUAACGGAGGAGCACGAAGGUUGGCUAAUCCUGGUCGGACAUCAGGAGGUUAGUGCAAUGGCAUAAGCCAGCUUGACUGCGAGCGUGACGGCGCGAGCAGGUGCGAAAGCAGGUCAUAGUGAUCCGGUGGUUCUGAAUGGAAGGGCCAUCGCUCAACGGAUAAAAGGUACUCCGGGGAUAACAGGCUGAUACCGCCCAAGAGUUCAUAUCGACGGCGGUGUUUGGCACCUCGAUGUCGGCUCAUCACAUCCUGGGGCUGAAGUAGGUCCCAAGGGUAUGGCUGUUCGCCAUUUAAAGUGGUACGCGAGCUGGGUUUAGAACGUCGUGAGACAGUUCGGUCCCUAUCUGCCGUGGGCGCUGGAGAACUGAGGGGGGCUGCUCCUAGUACGAGAGGACCGGAGUGGACGCAUCACUGGUGUUCGGGUUGUCAUGCCAAUGGCACUGCCCGGUAGCUAAAUGCGGAAGAGAUAAGUGCUGAAAGCAUCUAAGCACGAAACUUGCCCCGAGAUGAGUUCUCCCUGACCCUUUAAGGGUCCUGAAGGAACGUUGAAGACGACGACGUUGAUAGGCCGGGUGUGUAAGCGCAGCGAUGCGUUGAGCUAACCGGUACUAAUGAACCGUGAGGCUUAACCUU
rnacentral:rRNA from 1 species